AGCGAACGCUGGCGGCAGGCUUAACACAUGCAAGUCGAGCGGGCACUUUCGGGUGUCAGCGGCGGACGGGUGAGUAACGCGAGGGAACGUGCCGUCUGGUUCGGACUAAGUCAGGGAAACUUGAGCUAAUACCGGAUACGAACGGUUGGGGAAAGGCUUGCUGCCGGAGGAUCGGCCCGCGUCUGAUUAGCUAGUUGGUGAGGUAACGGCUCACCAAGGCGACGAUCAGUAGCUGGUCUGAGAGGAUGAUCAGCCACACUGGGACUGAGACACGGCCCAGACUCCUACGGGAGGCAGCAGUGGGGAAUAUUGGACAAUGGGCGCAAGCCUGAUCCAGCCAUGCCGCGUGAGUGAUGAAGGCCUUAGGGUUGUAAAGCUCUUUUAUCCGGGACGAUAAUGACGGUACCGGAGGAAUAAGCCCCGGCUAACUUCGUG
rnacentral:rRNA from 1 species